rnacentral:rRNA from 1 species
CCUCCGGGUGGCAGCAGUGGGGAAUAUUGCACAAUGGGGGAAACCCUGAUGCAGCGACGCCGCGUGAGUGAAGAAGUAAUUCGUUACGUAAAGCUCUAUCAGCAGGGAAGAAACACUGACCUUACGGUCAGCAGACGGUACCUGAGUAAGAAGCCCCGGCUAACUACGUGCCAGCAGCCGCGGUAAUACGUAGGGGGCAAGCGUUAUCCGGCUUUACUGGGUGUAAAGGGAGCGGAGACCGGGCGCCAAGGCUGGAGGGAAAUGCCGGAGCGUAACUGCGGACCUGCUUUGGAAACUGGCGAACUAGAGUGCGCGAGGAGUAUGCGGAAUGCCUAGUGUAGCGGUGAAAUGCGUAGAUAUUAGGAGGAACACCGGUGGCGAAGGCGGCUUACUGGACCGUAACUGACGUUGAGGCUCGAAAGCGUGGGGAGCAAACAGGAUUAGAUACCCCUGUAGUC